rnacentral:miRNA from 12 species
CCAUCAUUUGGCUCGACUGUCA